rnacentral:rRNA from 1 species
AGUGAACGCUGGCGGUAGGCCUAACACAUGCAAGUCGAACGGCAGCACAGUAAGAGCUUGCUCUUACGGGUGGCGAGUGGCGGACGGGUGAGGAAUACAUCGGAAUCUACUUUUUCGUGGGGGAUAACGUAGGGAAACUUACGCUAAUACCGCAUACGACCUACGGGUGAAAGCAGGGGAUCUUCGGACCUUGCGCGAUUGAAUGAGCCGAUGUCGGAUUAGCUAGUUGGCGGGGUAAAGGCCCACCAAGGCGACGAUCCGUAGCUGGUCUGAGAGGAUGAUCAGGAACACUGGAACUGAGAAACGGUCCAGAAUCCUACGGGAGGCAGCAGUGGGGAAUAUUGGACAAUGGGAGAAAGCCUGAUCCAGCCAUACCGCGUGGGUGAAGAAGGCCUUCGGGUUGUAAAGCCCUUUUGUUGGGAAAGAAAAGCAGCAGGUUAAAACCCCGCUGUUCGGACGGUACCCAAAGAAUAAGCACCGGCUAACUUCGU